CCUACGGGUGGCAGCAGUGGGGAAUAUUGCACAAUGGGGGGAACCCUGAUGCAGCGCCGCCGCGUGGGUGAAGAAGUAUUUCGGUAUGUAAAGCCCUAUCAGCAGGGAAGAAAAUGCCGGUACCUGACUAAGAAGCCCCGGCUAACUACGUGCCAGCAGCCGCGGUAAUCAGUAGGGGGCAAGCGUUACCCGGAUUUACUGGGUGUAAAGGGAGCGUAGACGGCAGGGCAAGUCUGGAGUGAAGGCCCGGGGCCCAACCCCGGGACUGCUUUGGAAACUGCCAUGCUAGAGUGCUGGAGAGGUAAGCGGAAUUCCUAGUGUAGCGGUGAAAUGCGUAGAUAUUAGGAGGAACACCAGUGGCGAAGGCGGCUUACUGGACAGUAACUGACGUUGAGGCUCGAAAGCGUGGGGAGCAAACAGGAUUAGAUACCCGUGUAGUC
rnacentral:rRNA from 1 species